GCCGGAAGGUGUCUUCCCUAGACUUACGCAGCCGACGGAACCGGAGUGUUACACCGAUGUUACAUCUACCGCAGCAAUGGAGUUGCAAGACGGCUGACCGUAAGUCCCUACAAAGGACUGUGAGGGCUGCUGAGAGGAUCAUUGGGGUCUCUCUUCCAUCCAUCAGAGCUUGAUGGUUGAGGGGUAAUAAUUGUUCCUGAACCUGUCGGUGAAGAUUCUGAGGCUUCUGUACCUUCUUCCUGAUGGUAGCACCGUGGAGAGCAUGAUGGGGGGUACUGAUGAUGGAUGCUGUUU